AUGUUUCCGAAGAAAGGGCCCAAUCCCUACGGCCAGCCGCCGCAGUAUGGCGCGCAGCAACCGUACGGCAAAAUUCCUGGUAGCGGCGGGUAUGUGACAUCUGCUGCAGCAGCUGGUGGCACAGAUGGCCCUCAGUUUGGCGGCAAUGCGGCACAGGGUGCUGUGGGGCAGUAUGGAGGGCCUUACGCUGCGGUUUAUGGCGCGCAGAAGGUUGGUGGACUUGCUGGCAAAGGUCCAAGUUCUUCUGGUCUUCCCAACCUGCAAGCUCAUCAAACAUCACUCUCUGAGUCAUCAAAGUUCUCAUCUGGAGCUGUAGGGUCCAGUCUGGGAAGGCCAAAUGAUGACUAUCUAGCUUCUCGUGCAUAUGUGCCAAAGCUAGAGCAGUACAGUAUGAAUUAUGAAUUGGAGAGAAGGAUGUACGGUGAACAGUCAGCUAAUAUUGGCAGGAGAGAUGGCUUCAAUGAUUUGGAUAGAAGAUACCCCGAUCAUAUUCCUGGAAGCCAUCAGAUUCACGACCGUGUGGAUCAGGUUUCAUCGACGCGACAUCAGCAACUCCUAAAAACUCCACUGCAGCCUGUCUCUGACAUACGACAAGCCGAUUACUUUGCAGGAAGGGCCGGUCCAGUCCAUCAAGGUUCCCAGGAAGCUAGCGCAUAUGGAGGAGUUGAAGCCGAUCAUCACAGCUUGUUAAUUCUUGGAUCUGUUCCAUAUGGCGGCCAACAACAAGCUUCAAUCUUGGGGGGGACCCAGAGGACAAACAUGGACAGCCUUGUCUAUGGACAAGGGUCAUCGGGCAGUGGUUACGUGAUGGGCCUACCCCCUGGACACGACUAUGCUUCAGGGAAGAACUUGCUGCAUGCAUCUUCAGAGUCUGAUUACCGAGAUAGCAUCUUACCUCGUGUACAUCCAAGCAUCCCCAUGGUUGAUGAGCCAACAAGAGACAGGGUUGUUUUUCGCCGUGAACUGGAUCUAAGAGAUGAGGAGCAUAGAAGGGGCCUUUUGUGGGAAAGAGAGAAGGAAAGGGAAUGGGAACGCGAACAAGAGCUACGAUACCAUGAAAUGGAAAGAAAACAAGACAGGGAGCGGGAGCACGAACGUCUAAGAGAGCGUGAAAGGGAAAGGGGACUCGAACAAGAAAGAGUACGUCUUCGCGAGCGCCGGGAGAAUGGGAGGGAGCGGGAUAGGAAGCAUGUGGCUAUUCCAAGGCGGGAGCACACUCCUCCAAGGACACCUCGUGAAAGGCGGCGUUCUUCUUCUGUUAGAUCUGAGAAGCCUUUGCGGCGGCUUUCGCCUCGACGUGAUGUCCUGCAUAGGCCUCGUUCACCUGUUAAACAACUAAAGAGAGAAUAUAUUUGCAAGGUCUUUCCAUUUCGCUUGGUGGAUGCUGAGAGGGACUACUUAUCUUUGACAAAGCGAUAUCCUAGACUAGUGAUUUCUCCAGAUGUUUCUAAGGUUGUCUUGAACUGGCCAAAAGGAAACCUUAAUCUUUCAAUGCGCACACCAGUCAGUUUGGAGCAUGACAUCCAUGAAGUGGAUGAUAAGGCCGACGAAAGAACAGUUUUAUCUUCAGAGAAAUCGUACAGCACCGGCACUCCAGACACUGUUUGGAAUGUAAAGGUUCUCUUGAUGAGUGGUAUGAGCAACGGUGCCUUCGCUGAUAUAUGUUCAUUGAGAAGUGCCGAGGAACGACUAGCGCACUGGAACAAUGUCUUGAAAUUUGCUGUAUUUAAGAAGGAUCAUGCACUUAUUACAAUUGGAGGUCCUUGGAGUGCAGCAAUAGAUGGUGGAGAUCCAUUGAUUGACUCUUCGUGCUUGGUGCGGACUGCUAUCAGAUGCACUAAAGAACUGGUUCAGAUUGAUCUAUCUAAUUGCACACACUGGAAUCAUUUCCUCGAGGUCCAUUACAACAGAAUUGGCAAAGAUGGACUCUUUAGUCAUAAAGAGAUUUCCGUACUGUUUGUGCCAAACCUGUCAGAAUGCAUACCUUCAGUAGAGUUAUGGAAGAAAACCUGGAUUACAUACAGAAAUUCAAAAGUAGACAGGGAGAAACUGGCUAUAAAGAGUGAAAAUGCCCCUUGUGAUACAAAGGAACAGAAGGAAGGAGCAGAUGAUGGUCAUAUGAGGGAGGGGGAUAUUUGCAAGGAUGUUACCAAAAUUGAGAAAGUUGAUACUAAAAUGGAUGAGCAGGGCAAAGAUGGGGAGGCAAAGUUUGUUGAGAAUAAAGGGAAACCACUUGAUAAUGCUGUGGAACAUAAUAAGAAGGGUGGGGACAUUCAAGGAAAUACCUCAGGCGAUGCCUCCGUUCACCAUGCAGUUGAGGAUAAAAAGCCCACACGAAGGAAAGUAAUAAAGAAGGUUAUCAGAAAAGUUGUUCGUGAAAAGCCAACUGCUGAAACUUCAAUUGACAAAUCAUCUCAGGUGGACAAGGCUGUGGUGGCAGAAACCACAAACAAAACUGUGGAAGAGCAGGUUGAACAAACAACUGAGGAUGUUAGUAAAAAAGAGGAUGGAACUGGCAUUAAUCUGCAACCUGAGACCAAUAAAACUGGGAAGAAGAAAGUAAUUCGAAGGAUUAUUAAGAGAAAAGUUCCUGCUUCAGGAUCCAAGUUGAUUGCACCUGCUGUACCUGCAGAAACAAGUAAACAAGGAGGGGAAGUUCAACAAGAAAAGAAUGAUGAAAGCUUGACUGAUGCUGGAAAUUCUCAGAUUAAGCUGGCAGAACGGUCUAACAUUGCUGCUGAAAAGAUUUCAAAUCCGAAGAAAGAAGAAAAGGCAGAUAAGGCACAUCUAUGUACCGAGGAUAAAAAAUCAAAUGGAGAUAAGGUUAGUGAACAGGAAGGUGUGAAUGGAGAUGUGAAUAAAGAGGGGGGGAAUGGAACGAAAGAUAAGGCAAAGGAUGGUAAAGAAAAAAAGAUAAAUGACCUGAAGAAGGAUCCAAAGCAAAAGUCACUUAAUAAUGACACCAAAGAGAAGAAGAAAUCUGACGAACCUCCUAAACAUCCAGGAUUCAUUCUGCAGACAAAAAAGAGUAAAGAGUCUAAACUCCGUCCAAUAUCCCUUUCAUUGGAUGGCCUACUAGACUAUACAACCAAUGACACAGAGGAAUCUGUUUUUGAGCUUUCGCUGUUUGCUGAAUCGUUCAGUGAAAUGCUUCAAUUCAGAAUGGGCUGCAUUAUCCUGUCUUUUCUUGAGAAACUACACAAGCACUUCGUUACAAAGAAGAACCGACGUAAGCGAACAAGAGAGGAUGAUCUAAUGAAGGAAGGCACAAAAUCAUCAGAAAAGAGAUCAAAGACAACUGACGAUGCUCACAUUGAAAGUACCCCUAAUAAUAUCAGUGCUCCAAAAAAUGAUAAAAUAAUGGAAGAUGAUAAGAAAAAGAUGAGCAUAGAUCAGAUACCUUUACCAGCUACUCGUGAUGAACCUGAAGCAGCAGAGAAGAUGGAGGAUGAAGAUCCUGACUACGAAGAAGAUCCCGAGGAAGUAGAAAUAUAUGAAGACGAUGAGGACAUGGAUGGUGAUACAGCUGAGCAACAGGACGGUAAUUUGAACAGUAGAGAGGUCAAAUUAGAAGAAGUAACAAAAGAAGAUAAAGUGAACCAGAAAGCAGGGAAGGAGAUCGAAUUAGAAAAUGUUGCCUGUACAGAUGAAAAGCCUGUUUCGAGGAAGGUCAAGCCUACUAUAGCAGAGAAAGGAGGUUUGGUAGAAGUUGGCGAUAGGGCAGCUGUAUCACCGAAAGGAGAUUCAGCAAAACAUGAAGUAAUUGAUAAGGACCUGUUGCAGGCUUUUCGCUACUUUGACAAGAGCAGAGUGGGCUAUAUCAAGGCAGAAGAUCUAAGGUGCAUUAUUCACAACCUGGGGAAGUUCUUGUCUAAUAGGGACGUGAAGGACUUGGUGGAGACUGCGCUUGCUGAGAGCAAUUCGGCGAGGGAUAACCGUGUUAUCUAUACAAAGCUUGUGAAGAUAGUGGACCUCUGA
rnacentral:rRNA from 1 species